AAGAGACCAGCGCUGGCAAGAUGGAGUGCUUGGGAUGGGGUGUAGGGUUUGAGCACAGCCUGAAGGAAGGGAGGGCAGUUCCCCUUGCUGCUCUGUAGACAAGCACCAUGGUCUUGAAGAUGAUGCAAGCUUCGACUGGAAGCCAGUGGAGUGUGCGGAGGAAUGGGGUGACAUGGGAGAACUCAGGAAGGUUGAACACCAGGUGGGCUGCGGCAUUCUGGAUAAGUUACAGGGGUUUGAUGGCACAAUCUAUCAUUUAGAUGGUGGGUUAGCAUGGGAACAGUUUGGAGACAUAUUAUCUGGUUAGCUGGUUGGUUAGCGUGGGGAAGAUCGAAUCAUACUACACUGGCUCCGACGCUCGUCAGAUGUGGCAGGGCUUGCAAACUAUUACAGACUACAAAGGGAAGCACAGCCGAGAGCUGCCCAGUGACACAAGACUACCAGACAAGCUAAAUCACUUCUAUGCUCGCUUUGAGGCAAGCAACACUGAGGCAUGCAUGAGAACACCAGCUGUUCCGGAUGACUGUGUGUUCACGCUCUCAGUAGCCGACAUGAGUAAGACCUUUAAACAGGUCAACAUACACAAGGCUGCGGGGCCAGACGGAUUACCAGGACGUGUGCUCCGGGCAUGUGCUGACCAACUGGCAGGUGUCUUCACUGACAUUUUCAACAUGUCCCUGAUUGAGUCCGUAAUACCAACAUGCUUCAAGCAGACCACCAUAGUCCCUGUGCCCAAGAACACAAAGGCAACCUGCCUAAAUGACUACAGAUCCGUAGCACUCAUGCCCGUAGCCAUGAAGUGCUUUGAAAGGCUGGUAAUAGCUCAAACAGAUCCACAGAUGAUGCAAUCUCUAUUGCACUCCACACUGCCCUUUUUCACCUGGGCAAAAGGAACACCUACGUGAGAAUGCUAUUCAUUGACUACAGCUCAGCGUUCAACACCAUAGUAUCCUCAAAGCUCAUCACGAAGCUAAGGAACCUGGGACUAAACACCUCCUUCUGCAACUGGAUCCUGGACUUCCUGACGGGCUGCCCCCAGGUGGUGAGGGUAGUUAGCAACACAUCGGCUACGCUGAUCCUCAACACUGGAGCUCCCCAGGGGUGCAUGCUCAGUCCCCUCCUGUACUCCCUGUUCACCCACGACUGCAUGGCCAGGCACGACUCCAACACCAACAUUAAGUUUCCAGACGACAGAGCAGUGGUAGGCCCGAUCACCGACAACGACGAGACAGCCUAUAGGGAGGAGGGGCUGUAGUGGAGCAGGUUGAGAGCUUCAAGUUCCUUGGUGUCCACAUCAACAACAAACUAGAAUGGUCCAGACACACCAAGACAGUCGUGAAGAGG
ensembl:lncRNA